rnacentral:tRNA from 2 species
GCGGCGAUGUUGGAAUUGGUAGACAAGCAAGGUUGAGGUCCUUGUGCCGAAAGGUGUGCAAGUUCAAGUCUUGUUCGCCGCA